UAUUGGCAUUCUAUAUAAGUAGCAAAUUAAUAUAUUGACUAAAGCUGGAACUCAUCUUUUCCAGUGGAUUUCUAACAUCUCUAAAAAGAAGAAAUCUAAUUGAAAGAAUUUGUGCAGUUGACAGGCCAGAAGACCUAUGGUGGAGAUGCUCGUCUCUGAAGUGAGUCUAACAGCUUUCCAAAAUCCCAGAUCUGUUGGAGAUUUUACCCAUUCCUUCCUUGGAAGUUGAGGAUCCCAAGCAUUUUCCCAAACUGAUUGAUGCUAUCCCUCAUAAAUCCAGGACUCCAAGAAGAACUGCUAGCCAUGUAUGGGACCCCUGGGCAAAUGAUACAGCACAAGUCCAUUGGGCAAACACACCGAGUAGAUACAGGAAAAUGAGCAGGUACACUACCCUGGGAAUAAGUAACAUGGAAUGUGACACCUCUGGGGACCAAAUGGUAGUACAAAAUAUGCAUGCAGAACUGUGGGCAACCCAAAGGGAUAAGCAUCUGUGCUUACAACAUAUAAUUACUAAUUUACAAUUACUAAUGCCACAUUCAGAAAUUAUGUUUUAAAAUCGGUAUUUUUUGUUUAACAU
rnacentral:lncRNA from 1 species